ACGAUGAAGACGCAGCGAAAUGCGAUAUGUGGUGUGAAUUGCAGAAUUCCGUGAAUCAUCGAAUUUUUGAACGCAACUUGCGCCCGAGGUUUGUCCCGAGGGCAUGCCUGCCUGAGCGUCU
rnacentral:rRNA from 1 species